UACGAAGGGGGCUAGCGUUGCUCGGAAUCACUGGGCGUAAAGGGCGCGUAGGCGGCCAUUCAAGUCGGGGGUGAAAUCCUGGAGCUCAACUCCAGAACUGCCUUCGAUACUGGAAAGCUCGAGUCCGGGAGAGGUGAGUGGAACUGCGAGUGUAGAGGUGAAAUUCGUAGAUAUUCGCAAGAACACCAGUGGCGAAGGCGGCUCACUGGCCCGGUACUGACGCUGAGGUGCGAAAGCGUGGGGAGCAAACAGG
rnacentral:rRNA from 1 species